rnacentral:rRNA from 1 species
GUUAUAUGGUCAAGUGAAGAAGCGCAUACGGUGGAUGCCUUGGCAGUCAGAGGCGAUGAAAGACGUGGUAGCCUGCGAAAAGCUUCGGGGAGUCGGCAAACAGACUUUGAUCCGGAGAUCUCUGAAUGGGGGAACCCACCUAGGAUAACCUAGGUAUCUUGUACUGAAUCCAUAGGUGCAAGAGGCGAACCAGGGGAACUGAAACAUCUAAGUACCCUGAGGAAAAGAAAUCAACCGAGAUUCCCUUAGUAGUGGCGAGCGAACGGGGAUUAGCCCUUAAGCUUCAUUGAUUUUAGCGGAACGCUCUGGAAAGUGCGGCCAUAGUGGGUGAUAGCCCCGUACGCGAAAGGAUCUUUGAAGUGAAAUCGAGUAGGACGGAGCACGAGAAACUUUGUCUGAACAUGGGGGACCAUCCUCCAAGGCUAAAUACUACUGACUGACCGAUAGUGAACCAGUACCGUGAGGGAAAGGCGAAAAGAACCCCGGAGAGGGGAGUGAAAUAGAACCUGAAACCGUAUGCGUACAAGCAGUGGGAGCCUACUUGUUAGGUGACUGCGUACCUUUUGUAUAAUGGGUCAGCGACUUAUAUUCAGUGGCAAGCUUAACCGUAUAGGGUAGGCGUAGCGAAAGCGAGUCUUAAUAGGGCGUUUAGUCGCUGGGUAUAGACCCGAAACCGGGCGAUCUAUCCAUGAGCAGGUUGAAGGUUAGGUAACACUGACUGGAGGACCGAACCCACUCCCGUUGAAAAGGUAGGGGAUGACUUGUGGAUCGGAGUGAAAGGCUAAUCAAGCUCGGAGAUAGCUGGUUCUCCUCGAAAGCUAUUUAGGUAGCGCCUCAUGUAUCACUCUGGGGGGUAGAGCACUGUUUCGGCUAGGGGGUCAUCCCGACUUACCAAACCGAUGCAAACUCCGAAUACCCAGAAGUGCCGAGCAUGGGAGACACACGGCGGGUGCUAACGUCCGUCGUGAAAAGGGAAACAACCCAGACCGCCAGCUAAGGUCCCAAAGUUGUGGUUAAGUGGUAAACGAUGUGGGAAGGCUUAGACAGCUAGGAGGUUGGCUUAGAAGCAGCCACCCUUUAAAGAAAGCGUAAUAGCUCACUAGUCGAGUCGGCCUGCGCGGAAGAUGUAACGGGGCUCAAACCACACACCGAAGCUGCGGGUGUCACGUAAGUGACGCGGUAGAGGAGCGUUCUGUAAGCCUGUGAAGGUGAGUUGAGAAGCUUGCUGGAGGUAUCAGAAGUGCGAAUGCUGACAUGAGUAACGACAAUGGGUGUGAAAAACACCCACGCCGAAAGACCAAGGGUUCCUGCGCAACGUUAAUCGACGCAGGGUUAGUCGGUUCCUAAGGCGAGGCUGAAAAGCGUAGUCGAUGGGAAACAGGUUAAUAUUCCUGUACUUCUGGUUACUGCGAUGGAGGGACGGAGAAGGCUAGGCCAGCUUGGCGUUGGUUGUCCAAGUUUAAGGUGGUAGGCUGAAAUCUUAGGUAAAUCCGGGGUUUCAAGGCCGAGAGCUGAUGAUGAGUCGUCUUUUAGAUGACGAAGUGGUUGAUGCCAUGCUUCCAAGAAAAGCUUCUAAGCUUCAGGUAACCAGGAACCGUACCCCAAACCGACACAGGUGGUCGGGUAGAGAAUACCAAGGCGCUUGAGAGAACUCGGGUGAAGGAACUAGGCAAAAUGGCACCGUAACUUCGGGAGAAGGUGCGCCGGCUAGGGUGAAGGAUUUACUCCGUAAGCUCUGGCUGGUCGAAGAUACCAGGCCGCUGCGACUGUUUAUUAAAAACACAGCACUCUGCAAACACGAAAGUGGACGUAUAGGGUGUGACGCCUGCCCGGUGCCGGAAGGUUAAUUGAUGGGGUUAGCGCAAGCGAAGCUCUUGAUCGAAGCCCCGGUAAACGGCGGCCGUAACUAUAACGGUCCUAAGGUAGCGAAAUUCCUUGUCGGGUAAGUUCCGACCUGCACGAAUGGCGUAACGAUGGCGGCGCUGUCUCCACCCGAGACUCAGUGAAAUUGAAAUCGCUGUGAAGAUGCAGUGUAUCCGCGGCUAGACGGAAAGACCCCGUGAACCUUUACUGUAGCUUUGCACUGGACUUUGAGCCUGCUUGUGUAGGAUAGGUGGGAGGCUUUGAAGCGUGGACGCCAGUUCGCGUGGAGCCAUCCUUGAAAUACCACCCUGGCAUGCUUGAGGUUCUAACUCUGGUCCGUGAUCCGGAUCGAGGACAGUGUAUGGUGGGCAGUUUGACUGGGGCGGUCUCCUCCUAAAGAGUAACGGAGGAGUACGAAGGUGCGCUCAGACCGGUCGGAAAUCGGUCGCAGAGUAUAAAGGCAAAAGCGCGCUUGACUGCGAGACAGACACGUCGAGCAGGUACGAAAGUAGGUCUUAGUGAUCCGGUGGUUCUGUAUGGAAGGGCCAUCGCUCAACGGAUAAAAGGUACUCCGGGGAUAACAGGCUGAUACCGCCCAAGAGUUCAUAUCGACGGCGGUGUUUGGCACCUCGAUGUCGGCUCAUCACAUCCUGGGGCUGAAGCCGGUCCCAAGGGUAUGGCUGUUCGCCAUUUAAAGUGGUACGCGAGCUGGGUUUAGAACGUCGUGAGACAGUUCGGUCCCUAUCUGCCGUGGACGUUUGAGAUUUGAGAGGGGCUGCUCCUAGUACGAGAGGACCGGAGUGGACGAACCUCUGGUGUUCCGGUUGUCACGCCAGUGGCAUUGCCGGGUAGCUAUGUUCGGAAAAGAUAACCGCUGAAAGCAUCUAAGCGGGAAACUUGCCUCAAGAUGAGAUCUCACUGGGAACUUGAUUCCCCUGAAGGGCCGUCGAAGACUACGACGUUGAUAGGCUGGGUGUGUAAGCGUUGUGAGGCGUUGAGCUAACCAGUACUAAUUGCCCGUGAGGCUUGACCAUAUAACACCCAAACA